GAAACUAUACAUAAAAGAUGAACAAUACUCAUUCGCAAUAUUCGAUCAAAUCAAACACCAUGAACAACAAUAACAACAACAAACCCAAACCUCCUUUCAUGCCAGCAAAGGAUGACACCAAACCUGUUCUUCAAGACCCAAUACUGAGGUCUGAUCCAAUUGAAACAGAGGAAGCUGUGUUGCUAUUACCUCCAUUCUCAAUCCCCAACUCAACUUCUCCAUCUCAAAUGACCUAAUUGUAUAUUUCAUUUUGAAACUUCUAACCACUCUAUGCCCAUGUUAAAUAUUUGUUUCUUCUCUGUUUUAGACAAUGGAAUUUUGAUUUUUUUAGUGUUUUAGCUCUUCACUCAGAAACCUAUCUCUUAAAAUGUUAUUUUUACUGCUGUAUUAAUUGUCUUUUACUGAAUGUGAAUUUCAGUUUUGUUAGUUGUUAGCAUAUUUGGCCUUGGAUUGAUGCUUUGAGUGGAUUAUAUUUUACUUGCUUAA